rnacentral:lncRNA from 11 species
CUGUUGUGGACAUGAAUAUGUGAAUAUGUCAAGUACCAUAUGCUGCUCAGCUUCCAGUGGUGAGUCUAAAGCCCACAUUAAAAAGAAUGACCCAGCACCAUUAAAAUGCUGUGAGACUGAACUUAUUCCAAAGAGCGAGGAAUGUUGUAAUGGACUUGGAUAUAAUCCUUUGAAAUAUGUUUGUUCUGACAGGAUUUCAGCUGGAAUGACGAUGAAGGUAAAAGAAGAAUGCAAAGCAAGCACUUUGUGUCCUAUAUCCAUGGAAGCAACAGCAUAUUGUGG